UCAAGUAAUUAAGUGCAUGUGGUGGAUGCCUUGGCAGUCAGAGGCGAUGAAAGACGUGAUAGCCUGCGAAAAGCUCCGGGGAGGCGGCAAAUAUCCUUUGAUCCGGAGAUGUCUGAAUGGGGGAACCCACCUACUUUAAGGUAGGUAUUGCAACAUGAAUACAUAGUGUUGCAAGGCGAACGAGGGGAAGUGAAACAUCUCAGUACCCUUAGGAAAAGAAAUCAAUUGAGAUUCCCUCAGUAGCGGCGAGCGAACGGGGAUCAGCCCAUUAAGUUAUGUGUGUUUUAGUGGAACGCUCUGGGAAGUGCGAACGUAGAGGGUGAUAUUCCCGUACACGAAAGGGCACACAUAAUGAUGACGAGUAGGGCGAGGCACGUGAAACCUUGUCUGAAUAUGGGGGGACCAUCCUCCAAGGCUAAAUACUCCUGACUGACCGAUAGUGAACCAGUACCGUGAGGGAAAGGCGAAAAGAACCCCUGUGAGGGGAGUGAAAUAGAUCCUGAAACCGCAUGCAUACAAGCAGUGGGAGCACCUUCGUGGUGUGACUGCGUACCUUUUGUAUAAUGGGUCAGCGACUUAUAUUCAGUAGCGAGGUUAACCGUAUAGGGGAGCCGUAGAGAAAUCGAGUCUUAAUAGGGCGUUUAGUUGCUGGGUAUAGACCCGAAACCAGGCGAUCUAUCCAUGAGCAGGUUGAAGGUUGGGUAACACUAACUGGAGGACCGAACCCACUGUCGUUGAAAAGCCAGGGGAUGACUUGUGGAUAGGGGUGAAAGGCUAAUCAAGCCUGGUGAUAGCUGGUUCUCCCCGAAAGCUAUUUAGGUAGCGCCUCGGACGAAUACCAUAGGGGGUAGAGCACUGUUUCGGCUAGGGGGUCAUCCCGACUUACCAAACCGAUGCAAACUCCGAAUACCUAUGAGUACUAUCCGGGAGACAGACUGCGGGUGCUAACGUCCGUAGUCAAGAGGAAAACAAUCCAGACCGCCAGCUAAGGCCCCAAAAUCAUAGUUAAGUGGGAAACGAUGUGGGAAGGCAUAGACAGCUAGGAGGUUGGCUUAGAAGCAGCCACCCUUUAAAGAAAGCGUAAUAGCUCACUAGUCGAGUCGGCCUGCGCGGAAGAUGUAACGGGGCUAAAACUAUGUGCCGAAGCUGCGGAUGUAUACUUUGUAUACGUGGUAGGGGAGCGUUCUGUAAGCCGAUGAAGGUGUGUUGAGAAGCAUGCUGGAGGUAUCAGAAGUGCGAAUGCUGACGUGAGUAACGACAAAACGGGUGAAAAACCCGUUCGCCGAAAGACCAAGGGUUCCAGUCCAACGUUAAUCGGGGCUGGGUGAGUCGACCCCUAAGGCGAGGCCGAAAGGCGUAGUCGAUGGGAAAAUGGUUAAUAUUCCAUUACUUCUGUGUAAUGCGAUGAGAGGACGGAGAAGGCUAAAUCAGCCUGGCGUUGGUUGUCCAGGUGAAAGGAUGUAGGCAUGUAUCUUAGGCAAAUCCGGGGUACUCUAUGCUGAGAUCUGAUAGCAAGCUGUACUUGUACAGCGAAGUGGUUGAUGCCAUGCUUCCAGGAAAAGUCUCUAAGCUUCAGUUACACAGGAAUCGUACCCGAAACCGACACAGGUGGUCAGGUCGAGUAGACCAAGGCGCUUGAGAGAACUCUGCUGAAGGAACUAGGCAAAAUGGUACCGUAACUUCGGGAGAAGGUACGCUGUUGUUGGUGAUGGAACUCGCUUCCUGAGCUGACGACAGCCGCAGAAACCAGGCCGCUGCAACUGUUUAUUAAAAACAUAGCACUCUGCAAACACGAAAGUGGACGUAUAGGGUGUGAUGCCUGCCCGGUGCUGGAAGGUUAAUUGAUGGGGUUAGCGUAAGCGAAGCUCUUGAUCGAAGCCCCAGUAAACGGCGGCCGUAACUAUAACGGUCCUAAGGUAGCGAAAUUCCUUGUCGGGUAAGUUCCGACCUGCACGAAUGGCAUAAUGAUGGCGGCGCUGUCUCCAGCAGAGGCUCAGUGAAAUCGAAAUCGCUGUGAAGAUGCAGUGUACCCGCGGCUAGACGGAAAGACCCCGUGAACCUUUACUGCAGCUUGACACUGAACUUUGACCUUACUUGUGUAGGAUAGGUGGGAGGCUUUGAAGCUGGAACGCUAGUUCCAGUGGAGCCGUCCUUGAAAUACCACCCUGGUAAUGUUGAGGUUCUAACUCUGUCCCGUGAUCCGGGACGAGGACCGUGUCUGGUGGGUAGUUUGACUGGGGCGGUCUCCUCCUAAAGAGUAACGGAGGAGUACGAAGGUGCGCUCAGCGUGGUCGGAAAUCACGCGUAGAGUAUAAAGGCAAAAGCGCGCUUAACUGCGAGACCCACAAGUCGAGCAGGUACGAAAGUAGGUCUUAGUGAUCCGGUGGUUCUGUAUGGAAGGGCCAUCGCUCAACGGAUAAAAGGUACUCUGGGGAUAACAGGCUGAUACCGCCCAAGAGUUCAUAUCGACGGCGGUGUUUGGCACCUCGAUGUCGGCUCAUCUCAUCCUGGGGCUGAAGCAGGUCCCAAGGGUAUGGCUGUUCGCCAUUUAAAGAGGUACGCGAGCUGGGUUUAGAACGUCGUGAGACAGUUCGGUCCCUAUCUACCGUGGGCGCUGGAAAUUUGAGAGGAUCUGCUCCUAGUACGAGAGGACCAGAGUGGAC
rnacentral:rRNA from 1 species